ensembl:snRNA U6 U6 spliceosomal RNA
GUGCUCACUUUGGCAGCACAUAUACUAAAAUUGAAAUGACACAGAGAAGAUGAGCAUGGCUCCUGUGCAAUAUUAACACACAAUUCUUGAAGCAUUCCAUAUUUUU